rnacentral:lncRNA from 1 species
UGCUUUAUACUUCAAAAGUGCUUGAUGUUUUAACUAUUAUAAUAGUUAAGCUCACUGCUCCUACUGAAAUACUUAUGUCACUGAUCUUCUCUUUUGGGUGUUCAACAACUAAAGUUUGGAGACCAAAUCUAGAAAGGUAACUGGGCUAUGAGGACAGCCAAUAUUUUGGCCCUGGUCCCUCAAGAUCAACAAAUAUCCAGGAUCCUACAUCUUUGCUAAGUUACUCAACCUCCUGAGCAGGGGGAUUGCUGGGCACCAGAGGACAAAGGUACCGUGUUUCAAAGGAGGGUCACAAAGAGGAAAAAAUCUCCCACACUUUCACUGAAAGCAACAUGGUCAAGCAAGGCCAUGACCCAUCCUGAGGGCUGACAGACGGAGGAGCUAAGAGGCUCUAUGCAUGGUUCCAAGUAAUGCCUGAGGAGACUUAACUGACCUUGAUAGAUAGCAAGAGGUUCAUCCUGAUUGGCACAGGUCUCCCUUUAACUUGGUUUUAAACACCCAGAAAAGAAUAACCAAAAGAGGUAUAAAUAAUGCCAUAGUAAUAAAGCUAGAUGUAAAAAGGGCUCCAGUCACUGACCCCUUCUGGCAGUUUCUAGCUACACCAGUAGCUGACCAGUUAUGGAUCAUUAGGAAAAAUCUAUGGUAGAAUCUAGCCACCAGGUUACAAUCACUAUUUCAAUUUCCCAACCUGCCCUUCGAUUCUAAUGUGCUCAUGCUUAGAUUAUACAUGCUCUGAUUUCUUAAAAGUUUUUUUAUUCUUGCCUAGAGACUGCCAGACUCCACGCAGUCAUACAAAUGGAACCAAUGACAAAUGUGCUAGACUUCUUUCACUGGGAUCCACCAGAUUGACCUGACUCAAAGCUAUACAGCUACCAAGAUGACAAUGCCUGGCACCCAUCGAAGGCCUUUAGAUAGACUCUCUGUAGAGUAACUCUAACUACUGAUCACAACUACAACCCUCUCCAGCCGGAAUUAGCCAGACCUGUCUUCGCCCUUUGCCCCC